AUCAGCAUUCGGGAGCGGGACUAGCUACGCCUAAAUCUGCACACAGGAGUGCAGGGAGUAAAGUGAGUACUCCAACUCAGUGAGUAACAAAUGUAAAUAACGAGUGAAAGUAAGAAAACACGUAAGGCACAAAGCAUUCUAUAAUGAAGCAGUAAAGCCAUUUAAAAACAAUAAACCGGUGGAAAGUUAAGUAAAAUCCUUUUUCAACAAGUAAACAGAUAAUUGACAUGAAGUUAAGGUAAAGUAAACAAAUAGAAGUUCGCCCUUCUGGCACAGUAUCAACAAAUUCGCCCCUCGGGCAACAUCUCAGAACAAUACUAGCCCCUCGGGCUAAUCUCACAUCACAAUGGGUACCCGCGCUCACUAGGAGUGUGCAGUCUCUUGGAGGGCCCAUUACGACCCAAGCGCAAUAACAAGUCAUCUCGUGGCAUAAAAACUAGGCCCUCGGCCUCAUAUCAAUCAAUACACCUCGUGGCGUACUUAUCGCAAACCCUCGUCCUCAAAUCAGUAUCAGUGUUUCCUCACAACAUAGGCCAUCGGCCUUACUUAGUCAAAAAUCCUCACAAGCCCCUUGGACAAUAGUAAAAGAGUGUUUCUCAGCCCAAACAUCAUUUAAGAUAUCAUUUAAGUCUUAAAAAUGAGUAAACAUGGGUGAUUAUGAAAACAGUGAAAAAUAACAUGACUGAGUUCAAGUAUAAAGUCAAAAUAGUGCGAAAAUAUCAAUAAAAAUCCCCGAAGGGUUCAAAUAGUUGGCACGAAGCCCAAAUAAUAAUGAUAGCAAAUAGAUUUAAGUCAAAUAUGCGGUAAAAUCAACAAUCAGGACGGACAAAGUCACAAUCUCCAAUAGUGCACGACCCCACGCUCGUCAUCAAACGUGUGUCUCACAUCAAUAUAGCACCACGAUGUGCAAAUCCGGGGUUUCAAACCCUCAGAACAUCAUUUACAAUCAUUACUCACCUCUAAACGGUCAAAUAUCUAGCUCGCGACGCAUUUGCCCCUCGAAUCGGCCUCCACGCAUGUCGAAUCUAUCCAAAACCAGAACGAGGGCAUCAAAAUAUGCUAAGGGAACGAAGCCCAAGCGAAAACAAUCAAUAAAGGACACAUAUCCCGAAAUUAACAAAACCCGACCCUAGGGCCCAUGUCUCGGAAUUCAAUAAUUUUUACACUAAUAGAUUCCUUAUCUCCCCACGAGUUCAUACAUAUCAAAAGUUCUCAAAUCCGACCCCAAAUGGUCCUUCAAAUCCCCAAUCAAAAGUCUAAAUUUCCAAGCCCUAAUUCUUCAAUUUUUGGCUUAAUUUCCAUGAUUUUCUAGGUGGAAUUCACAUAAUAAUCGAGUUUUAAGUCCAAGAAUCUUACCACCAAGUGAUUCCUCUUAAUACCUCUUCAAUCUCCUUCAAAAAGCUCCAAAGCUGAAGUCAAAAAUGGUGAAAUAGCUCAAAUUCGCAAAAUAACUUAUAUGUUCUGCCUUGACCUUUUUGCAUCUGCGGCACAAUACCCGAUUCUGCAGUACCGCAUUUGCGGUUAUUCUUCCGCUUCUGCGAAAAUCACUUAACAGGCCACAUCCGUAUCUGCGAUCAUCCUUCCGCAUCUGCGACUCCGCAGAUACGGUCCUCUUAGCCGCUUCAGCGGUCCCCGACAAAUCCCCAUAAUAAGCUUUCGCGGCCACUCUCUUGCACAUGCGGCGCCGCACCUCCGGUCCCUAUUCCGCAUGUGCGAAAAUACCAGAAGCAAAAAUUCAGCAGCUGCGACAACAAUCCAAACUUCCCGUUAAUCUUCCGAAAUCACACAGAGGCCCCCAGGACCUCAUCCUAAAGCACAAACAUAACCCAAUACCUUAUUCAAACUUGUUCCAAUCAUCAAAACACCUCAAACAACAUCAAAUCACCCAAAACACAUCGGAUUCAAGCCAAACUUUCUAAAAUCUUCCGAAUUUUGCUUUUGAUCAAAAACCCAACCAAACCACGUUUGAAUAACCUGAAACUUUGGACACACAUUCCAAAUGACAUAACGAAGCUACUGAAACUCUUGGAAUUCCUUUCCGUCCCCUAUAUCACAAUCUCGCCUACCAACCGGAAAUCGCCAAAAUAUCAACUUUGCCAAUUCAAGCCAAAUCUUCUCCAAACCUCCAAAACCCAUUCCAAUCAUACUCCUAAGUCUCACAUCACCUCCCGAAGCUAACCGAACCAUCAGAACUCACAUCCGAGCCCUCUAACACACAAGUCAACAUCCGAUUGCAUUUUUCAACUUAAACUUCCUUAAAAGAGACUAAGUGUCUCAAACCUUACCAAAAUCACUCCGGAUUCGAUACGACCAACCCAAUACCACAAAACACAGAUAACAAGGCAUAAAGAAGCAGAAAUAGGGUAAACGAAGUGGUAACUCAUGAGAUGGCGGGUCGGGUCGUCAUAGAAUCAGAGUUCAAUCAAUUAGGGAUCAAUCAACCAAUCACAGAAUUAAUUUCUAUAGGGAAGUCCGGGAAAGACCCAUUUGAUUGGGGUAUAGUCAAUUAACGAUCAUAAUAUGGGGUUCAGUUAAGGCAAUGAAUCAAAAUCAUACAUGUAGGGAGUCAGUAAAAAUCCCCAAACUAUUGUCGAAUAAUUAAGGCAAGUAAAAAAUAGGAAAGCAGGUCACAAUUAAGGAAGAUAGUAAAAUCCCAGAACACUGAUUCUAACAUGGCAAUUAAUAGGAAACAAUCGGUAAAAAUCUUCAAAGAGUACUGAUCUCAUAGAAAAAAAUUAUUUGAAUCCUUAAAUAGAAAUCAACCAAGUAAGAAUCCCAAAUGGGUUCUGAUUUUAGCAAGAAAGAAGAUCAUUCAAAUCCUUAACAGAAAUCAAUCAAGUAAAGAAAAAUCCAUAAAAAUACUGAUUUUAACAGGGACAAUCAUUUAGGUCUCUAAAUAGAAUAAGUUAACAUUGCUGGCUCAGGUAGAUAAACACAAUAUCGAAACAAAAUCAAAGAAAUCAGUAUAACACACAGAAUCAUCUAGAGUUUAAGCAUGAAUGUGAAAAUUAGUCAAGAUAGUGAAGAAACAAUUAAUAAAAACACUGAGAAGUUAGAAAAAUCUUUGAAGAAAAGUCUAGGAUGAACCUUAAUUUCAGAAAGAAUAAAUGAAGUCGAAAAAAUUAAUUAAACCAAGAGAUUUUUAAAGGAAAAUACCCAAUAAUACUCAAAUCACUUCAGAUCUGAGAAGAUUCGAACAGUAGUGAAACUAGGGUUUUCAGAAAAUAGUUGAGAUGAAGAGAAUUGAUCGAAAACCCAUGGAUUCGUACUAGAAACAAGAGAAAAUCCAUCCUCACAAAUGAAAGUGGCCUGAGACAGGCUGGUAAACAACUUUCAAGCCAGAACAGGUUGGAUUUCCAUGAGAUCUUCUCAAGGACUCAUGAAAUCAAACAGUCAGAAGGUAUAAGAGACCAAUGAUGGUCGGAGAAUGCACGGAAACACCAUAGAAGACAGGUUCCCGCUGGUGAUGGGGAUUAGGGUUAGGGUGAGUUGAGAGAGAAUUAGAGAUGAGGGAUUCAAAGGCGGCGGGGUGUGACAAAUGAGUUGGGUUAG
rnacentral:lncRNA from 1 species